rnacentral:rRNA from 1 species
UCGGGUGUGAGUAUAGUGGCGCACGGGUGAGUAACGCGUGGGAACCUGCCAAGCAGUGGGGAAUAACCUUUGGAAACGAAGGCUAAUACCGCAUACGCCCCCAAUGGAAACAUGGGGGGGAAAGAUUUAUCGCUGUUUGAUGGUCCCGCGUCCGAUUAGCUAGUUGGUAAGGUAAUGGCUUACCAAGGCGACGAUCGGUAGCUGGUCUGAGAGGAUGAUCAGCCACACUGGAACUGAGACACGGUCCAGACUCC